GACCGCGUAGCUGAGCUGGAAGAGCAUUGGGCUAGUAUUCCAAAGGUCGUAGGUUCGAAUCCCACUGUGGCCG